GGCGCAGGUGGGCCGGCACUUGCGGCGGCCGGCCGUCGGACGGCUGGCUGCUGUGAUAGCGCAGCACGCCCAGGUGCAGCUGCCCGAUCUGCAGCU
rnacentral:tRNA from 1 species